rnacentral:rRNA from 1 species
ACGUCUACAUUAGAUACCCGCGUAGUCCCAGCCGUAAACUAUGCGCGUUAGGUGUAUCGGUGACCACGAGUCACCGAGGUGCCGAAGGGAAACCGUGAAAUGUGCCGCCUGGGAAGUACGGUCGCAAGGCUGAAACUUAAGGAAUUGGCGGGGAGCACCACAACGGGUGGAGCCUGCGGUUUAAUUGGACUCAACGCCGGGAAGCUCACCGGAUAAGACAGCGGAAUGAUUGCCGGGCUGAAGACUCUGCAUGACUAGCUG